GUAAGAAUAUAUUUCUGAGAUAUGUCCAUUAUUAAUAACAUAAUAGGAAAUAAUCCUACCGAGUACCGGCCUACAUUUAUAUUUAUUAUACACUCACGCGCACUUAACCAAUCAGUAAUCGUUGAGAAGGUCACGUGCCGAUCCAAUAUUUUACGAUAUUGGACAGGAACCUAUUGGACAGUUGCGAAUCGUGGCUAUUUUCAUAGUUUUUUAAGCCUUUUCAGGAGUUUUGUCAAUUUCGAACAUACGACAAGCGAUAUGGCAGACUAAUGAAAAGAAUUUGGG